rnacentral:tRNA from 1 species
UCCCAGCUAGUGCAGUGGGAGAAGAACCUGCCUGCCAAUGCAGGAGACCCGGGUUCAAUCCCUGGGCUGGGAA